rnacentral:lncRNA from 1 species
AUUCCUAGCUGGGGUCACAGGGAACCAACCAGUCUUCAUGUUGGAAAAAAAUGCAAUUUGGAGUAUCCACAAAACCUCCAGCGCCAAUAUCAAGGAGAUUGUAAAGAAGAUGACCCUGAACUUGGAGUAUUUGAAGGGAUGGAGCUCAGCAGCUGCCAUCACCCUCAGAAGAGAACUGCUGUCGCCUAGGUGCCCCUAACUUGCAGGUUCUCAUAGAAGCAUAUGUCCUCCAAACCACUGUGUAUUCUACACUAAAGCACUUUGAAGAGAAGUGCAGAACUCACCACACACUUCCAAAGCUGGCCUCAAACUCAUGAAACAGCCAACGAUGACCCCGAACUUCUGACUUUGAACCUCUGAGCUUGCUGCCUCCACUCCCAAGUGCUGGGAUUAGAGGCCAGCUCCUUCACACCCUGUUUUAUGGAGUGAACUCAGGGCUCCUUGCAUGUCACACAAGCAAUGGACCAGCUGAGCUACAUGCCCAGCCCUGAGAACUCUGCUCUUUGAAGGAAUCAAAGGGCCAGGAACAGACAGAAUGGAUGGACCCCGGCACACAAGCCUUGAGAGAGGAGGAAGUGAGUGGCUGGGCUCAGCUGCCACUUGUAGCUGCCGAUAUGGGCGAGGCUCUGGCUACCAUGACAGGCACUGGAGAGACUGCUGUCUCACUCUCCUAGUCUUUUUCUCUCCUAAGUCCUAAGUCUCUCCCAAGUGGAAGAGGGAAGGGGCUCCCAACUACAGUCGGUUUCAACUGUGUAAAAGCAGGCAACGAAUUGUUACUACAGAGGGCGUUCCUGAAGAGCUAAGAGAUACACAGGCUCUCCGAUUACAACCUGCUUCCAAGCAUAAAGUUGAACCUUUCCAAAUACUGUGCUUGUUCCAGAACAUCCUGAGCUUCCCCACUGAGUAUGUAUGACCAGCCAAAUAACUCAGUGUGCUUCAGCCCAGUGCCAAACAUCGGCUGCUCUUGCACCUUCAUGUUUCAGUCCGACUUGAGUUCCUAAGAAGGAAUCCUUCCAGUCUCAGGAGCGCCACUGGCACUUCCCUUUUGUUUUCUGGGUAUCUGGAUAACCUAAUGAAGGAGGAAGUGCUAAUUUAAUACAAAUAACACAUCAACAGGCGCUGAUAAGCAGCCAGAGGCAGCAUCACCAUACAAAAAGUUCCAGCUCGGUUGACAGAGUGUUUGCUUAGCAUGCACAAAGCCUUAGGUUCAACCCCCAGCACCCACUAAAACCUAGUGCAUGACUUAAUUCCAGCACUAGAAAAGUAGAGGCAGGAGGAUCAGAAGUUCAAGGCUAUCUUCAGCUAUGUAGUGAGUUCAAGACUAGCCUGGGCUACAUGAGACCUGCUGCCCUUAACACCCUCUUCCUGAAAUAAAUAAAUAAUAUGACUGGAACAAGAGAGUUCCUAACCGUCCUAUGUAUGAAAGUGUGCAGCUUGAGGCAAUCAAAUAAACAUGAGGAUCACGUGGCUUCCCAUAUGCAUUUACUUAUGUAAUACUUUCUUCUUGUUCAGCUAAAAAAAUGGGACAUGAUAUACAAGACUCCCAUUUGUAAAAUGUGUACAGUUUAUCAAACCUUUCUUCACCCCUCAUGGUCCAUCAGUGGAGGGGAGAGAAACAGAAAGAGUAGAGAGGAGGUUACAGCUGAGCAUGCGGCUUAGUGGACCAGAACUUGACCAGCGUGCAAAGGGCCACCAUCCCAGCAAAGGCAACAAAAGACACAGAUAUUUAAUUUCUAGGGAUUGGCAACAGGGGGCAAAUAGGAUUCAAGUAUGGAGUGUAUUAUGAAAAUAUUGUGAUGCU